UACGAAGGGUGCAAGCGUUAAUCGGAAUUACUGGGCGUAAAGGGUGCGUAGGCGGUUGUUUAAGUCUGCCGUGAAAUCCCCGGGCUCAACCUGGGAAUGGCGGUGGAUACUGGGCAGCUAGAGUGUGUCAGAGGAUGGUGGAAUUCCCGGUGUAGCGGUGAAAUGCGUAGAGAUCGGCAGGAACACCUGCGGCGAAGGCGGGUUGCUGGGCUGACACUGACGCUGAGGCGCGAAAGCUAGGGGAGCGAACGGG
rnacentral:rRNA from 1 species